rnacentral:misc_RNA from 1 species
GCUCAGUCUCGCCGUCGCCGCCGCCGUCUUUCUUCCGCUCCUGCUUCCGCAGCCUCCCUCCUACCGGGUUCGCACCGACUUUCAAGUCUCUUGUUGUUACUUGUUACUGGACAUUCUAGGGUUCACUAUUUCUGCAGACAAUGUCUUCGGUUGGAACAUCCAAGGGAAUUCUGGAGAUUGCCAAGUUUGGGAUUUAUGUUACUAUACCUAUCGUUUUAAUGUACACCUUCGCCAAUAAUAGCAAAAACCUACAGAGAUUCAUGGGCAAAUCUUACAUAGUGUAUCCUCCCGAGGGACCGAGGCCUCCGUCUCCGGAAGAAGUAAGAGAGAUGGCACGCGAAUUGGCUCGAAAGAACAACAUUCGUUGAUGAUAUGUGGUCUGUUUCUACUGCAAUUUAGGCCAUAUUUUUGGAGUUGUCGAGCUAAUUAGAUUGCAUGUAUUUAUCUGUUUAUAGAGGAGUGAUCAACGAUUAUCAUCAACAUUUAGAAGCAACUGUUGAAACAACCUUUGGUAAGUUCAGGUGGGAUAAAGUAAAUAAAGGCCAAGCUCAACUUGCUGAGAUAAACAGCCUACCUCUACGGUUGUUGUGCUUUAGUAGGGGGGAAAAUAAACCUUUUAACAAUGAGAGCUACUGCUCAACUGGGUGUUAUGGCUGUGUGAUAAUGAGAUAAAAAAAACUGUUUAUAUCAUUGUGAUGUCAUUGAAUUCACAGUGGUGAUGUUUUUCCUAAUAAAUAGGAACUCUAGAAUGCGAUUGGAACGUGAUAGGUUAUAUCUUAUAUGUGGAGAUGAAUGAUUUUUA